GAUUACAGGCGUGAGCCACCACACCCAGCCAUGACUUAAAUUUUCAUCAGCAUUAAGGAUUAGAUAACAGCUGUCUAAGUAGCAUACAGAAUGGGUAAAAACAUUGCCCAAGGCAAACUAAAUUUCAGUUUACUUCAAAUUUGCUUUGUGUUGUGCUUGCUUAUUCAUCAAAUCAUGGUAUAUUUUAACAUGGUACCAUUCCUUGUCAACUGUGAGCACAGAUGAUAUACUUUUAGUUUAAAAGAAAAAAAACCAAAAGACAAGAAUAAAUUAAAUAUAUGCAAAGUACGAGAUUCUGAAGAUAACGAGAAGGGCACUUGUAAUAGAGAUGGUUAAAAACAAGCAAAGACAAUUAUUCUCUUCUUUACCCAAGACAAUCAAGAGUCAAAUGUUCUUUGAUUUAUGAUGGUUUCAUAAGAAAACUUAAGCUUCAUUUAGUCAUUUAAUGAGUUCAGC
rnacentral:lncRNA from 1 species